rnacentral:rRNA from 1 species
CCUACGGGAGGCUGCAGUGGGGAAUAUUGCGCAAUGGGCGAAAGCCUGACGCAGCGACGCCGCGUGAGGGAUGAAGGUCCUCCGAUUGUUAACCUCUGUCAGCAGGGAAGAACGGUCACUGUGCUAAUCAGCAGUGAAUUGACGGUACCUGCAAAGGAAGCACCGGCUAACUCCGUGCCAGCAGCCGCGGUAAUACGGAGGGUGCGAGCGUUAAUCGGUAUGACUGGGCGUAAAGGGCUCGUAGGCGGUAUGUCAAGGCAAGGGUGAAAUCCCCGCGCUCAACGUGGGAACUGCCUUUGAAACUGGCAAACUGGAGUGUGUGAGAGGAUAGUGGAAUUCCAGGUGUAGGAGUGAAAUCCAUAGAUAUCUGGAGGAACAUCAGUGGCGAAGGCGACUAUCUGGCACAUAACUGACGCUGAGGAGCGAAAGCGUGGGUAGCAAACAGGAUUAGAUACCCUUGUAGUC